AGAUUGAACGCUGGCGGCGUGCCUAACACAUGCAAGUCGAGCGGUAACAGGUGUAGCAAUACAUGCUGACGAGCGGCGAACGGGUGAGUAAUGCUUUGGAAUCUUCCCAGUAGUGGGGAAUAACCAGUCGAAAGAUUGGCUAAUACCGCAUACGUCUGUAAAGGGAAAGCGGGGGCUCGUAAGACCUCGCGCUAUUGGAUGAGCCAAAGUCGGAUUAGCUAGUUGGUGGGGUAAUGGCCUACCAAGGCGACAAUCCGUAGCUGGUCUGAGAGGACGACCAGCCACACCGGAACUGAGACACGGUCCGGACUCCUACGGGAGGCAGCAGUGGGGAAUAUUGGACAAUGGGGGAAACCCUGAUCCAGCGACGCCGCGUGUGUGAAGAGGCCUGCGGGUUGUAAAGCACUUUUAGUGGGGACAAAAGCUACGGACUAAUAUUCUGUGGUCUUGAUUUAACCCAAAGAAAAAGCACCGGCUAACUCUGUGCCAGCAGCCGC
rnacentral:rRNA from 1 species